UCGUGGAACGGACUUCGCGUCCAGUCACUUCGGAACUUGGGCAAGGAUAUCAAGCGAGUCUCUUUCGUUUCCGUCUAAUCGGUCAAUACUUGAAUUCAUUUGUAAAAUUUCGCGUCGGAUGCGUUUACGGCAAUACGCUGCGCGUGAAAUUUUUCUCGCGUACGCUUCUUUACUCUUUUACACGUUUUCGUGUUGUGGGAACUGAGCGUAAAUAACAGAGUGAAACAAUGUACGUAGAAAAACAAUCCGUGUUCGCGAAAGAAACAAAGAUCGAACGUGAUCUUGAGAAUAUUUGUGAACCAGGUUGUGAAGUAGCUGUGUAACUAACUCGUUGCAAACGGGAUAUUUCACGAUGAAAGGUGCACCAUCUUGAAGAGAAGCUUCCAAACAACGGCUCACUUUUCUCUUCGGGUUCUCUUCUUCGGGGGUAAUGCAUGCAAAACAGAAGCCACUUUAAGACAGGAGGGUGAUAAUCGAGAAUGGUGCAGAACUUCUAUCGUCUGGCAGUCGAUAAUGAAAGUUUAAAGUCACGUUGAACCAGGAUUGUAAUUAACGAACGACCACAAACAAACACUGUUAGGAUUUCCACUCGAUGCUCUCUCAUCAAUCAUUUUUACACAAACGAGGUACCUCGAUGAUACUGCAACAGAACGGAUAUGAGAACUUGUUGAAGUUCAAGGACAAACAUGACUUCGACAUUGGAGAAAUACAUCAAUCGCAAAAAGGUUAAAAAAUGAAAAAUUAAAAUUAAGAUGUUUUAAAAAUAUUGACUUUAGAGUGGUAG